ACAACUUCAUCUUUUUUCGGUGCGAAUUGUUCAUCAUUUCGCUUAAAAGGGAAGCCGGUUCAAGUCCGGCGCGGUCCCGCCACUGUACUAGGAAGUUUUAUAGAGAAUGUCACUGUCCAAAGGAUGGGAAGGCCUAUAAAACGUUGAACUAAAGCCAGGAGACCUGCCGAAAAAUAUGUGAUCGU
rnacentral:ncRNA from 1 species